rnacentral:rRNA from 1 species
CCCUUAGAUGUUCUGGGCCGCACGCGUGCUACACUGAGUGGAUCAGCGGGUCAGGUUACGCGAGAGCGUUUCCUAAUCUUCAAAUCCGCUCGUGAUGGGGAUUGACGGUUGCAAUUUUCCGUCAUGAACGAGGAAUACCUUGUAAGCGCGGGUCAUCAUCCCGCGCUGAAUACGUCCCUGCCCUUUGUACACACCGCCCGUCGCUCCUACCGAUUGAGUGGUCCGGUGGGGCUUUGGGAUCUAAGCGAAAAGAGCGUUUCGCUCCUUUUGCUGGGAGAACUCAGUCGAACCUUAUCAUUUAGAGGAAGGAGAAGUCGUAACA